rnacentral:lncRNA from 1 species
AUUCAAAAUUGGAACGAACGAAAGGAGUACUUCAGCUUUAUCGAAGACAUACCAUGUCUGUAGCUCUCGAUGAGAUGAAGGGUCACAUCAUCUCGGUGUUUGUAACUUCUUCAUCAUCGAGGUUUUUAUCGGCUUUAUUCAUUGAAAAGUGAGGGGUCUUCAUGAGUUCUGUAGGUUACUCUUCAUUUGUUGCCAAAGUCGACGGGUUGAAAAGCCUUAUAGAUUAGUCCUUCGAAAGUCCUUUUAGGUUAGCCUUUAUUUUUCAAUCGAUCAAUAUCUUCAUAAGCCGUUGGUUCUCUGAAAAGCGAACGGCCUUUGAGGUCCUGUAGGUUAGCCCCUUCUUCCCAACUGUCAAAGUUUUUUGCCCAUGUUAAGCUUUGGGGGUCUUUAUAGAUUAGCCCCUACUUCUUGUGUGAUUAAAAUCUUCAAGGGCAUUAGUUCGGUGAAAAGCGAGCCCAGCCUUCAGGGGUCCUUAUAGGUUAGCCCCUACUGGUUAGUCACAGAAGUCUUAAGUUAUUGAUCAUAUUUCUAUCGGUUUGCCUCUAGUUGGCUUUCAUUGGUUGACAUUCUGAAAUUACUUCAUUUUGACUUUUGGGAGCUCGAUUUCAGGAGAUUGUCCUUUGAGAGUUCAACUUUUAGGAGCUCAUUUUUAAGAGGUCGACCUUUUGGGGAGUCGAUUUUUGGAUGGUCCGCAUUAGGAGC